UGACGGUACCUGACUAAGAAGCUCCGGCUAAAUACGUGCCAGCAGCCGCGGUAAUACGUAUGGAGCAAGCGUUAUCCGGAUUUACUGGGUGUAAAGGGAGCGUAGGCGGAAGGCUAAGUCUGAUGUGAAAACCCAGGGCUCAACCUUGGGACUGCAUUUGAAACUGUCUUGCUGGAGUGCAGGAGGGGCAAGCGGAAUUCCUAGUGUAGCGGUGAAAUGCGUAGAUAUCAGGAGGAACACCGGUGGCGAAGGCGGCUUACUGGACGGCAACUGACGUUGAGGCUCGAAGGCGUGGGGAGCAAACAGGAUUAGAUACCCUG
rnacentral:rRNA from 1 species